ACUUUGAUCAGGAAAGAGUUCUUCUUUACUGGCAAUUUAAGGAAUGGUCAAUAAAAAUUACUCCUGACAAUUAAAAUUUGGUCUUCCCUCUAAUUUUUUUCCUGUGAAUUAUUCCCGCCUGGAUAUAUUUACCCGCAAACUGCAAAACUGUAAUCUUUACAUAGAGAUCCACAAAAUUGACUACGCCCCUCUCUUUCUCUCUCACGAUUAUCGGCACCCACAUCUUGCACCAUGGCUGGUCACCAUUACCAGCCUCUACCAUAUCUGCUUUUAGUUCUUUCCCUAGAUUCUGUUAUUUGAUGAAGGCACCACUUUAUUGGGAUCUCUAUUUGCCAAAAGGAUUGGACUCCGACAUGAUUUGUUUUUAGCUAACAUAAUUCUUAAUAUCAAGGAACUACACCAGCAUCAAAGUCAUCUUACUAUCUUGCUGCUUAUUGCUUGAACAGACCAGAUAGGAUGCUAGACAAUUUAGCAAAUGACAAAAUAAAUCUUGUGGAGGUAUCAAGAUUUUUUAUGAUAAGCUGUAAUAACUGAUCUUGGGUGGCUCCUUUCCUUCCAUGUCAACCUCUUUAAUAUGCAGUGGAUGUAGUUCUUUCUUGUUACAGGGUGCAAUUGUGUUUUCUAUCAUCGUAACUACGGUUUCACCAACUUAUGCUUAAAAGGUCCGGACUACUCGGGUAUAACUUUAUUUCCUUAGGACUACAACAAAAAGCAUUUUUACCAAUA